GAUGAACGCUGGCGGCGUGCCUAAUACAUGCAAGUCGAGCGAACAGACGAGGAGCUUGCUCCUCUGACGUUAGCGGCGGACGGGUGAGUAACACGUGGAUAACCUACCUAUAAGACUGGGAUAACUUCGGGAAACCGGAGCUAAUACCGGAUAAUAUAUUGAACCGCAUGGUUCAAUAGUGAAAGACGGUUUUGCUGUCACUUAUAGAUGGAUCCGCGCCGCAUUAGCUAGUUGGUAAGGUAACGGCUUACCAAGGCAACGAUGCGUAGCCGACCUGAGAGGGUGAUCGGCCACACUGGAGCUGAGACACGGUCCAGACUCCUACGGGAGGCAGCAGUAGGGAAUCUUCCGCAAUGGGCGAAAGCCUGACGGAGCAACGCCGCGUGAGUGAUGAAGGUCUUCGGAUCGUAAAACUCUGUUAUUAGGGAAGAACAAAUGUGUAAGUAACUAUGCACGUCUUGACGGUACCGAAUCAGAAAGCCACGGCUAACUACGU
rnacentral:rRNA from 1 species